rnacentral:rRNA from 1 species
CUGGAACGCGCCCCAGGCGCACCCAGAAACCCUUUGUGAACUUAUACCUUACUGUUGCCUCGGCGCUAGCUGGUCCUCCGGGGCCCCUCACCCCCGGGUGUUGAGACGGCACGCCGGCGGCCAACCCAACUCUUGUUUUUACACUGAAACUCUGAGCACAAAACAUAAAUGAAUCAAAACUUUCAACAACGGAUCUCUUGGUUCUGGCAUCGAUGAAGAACGCAGCGAAAUGCGAUAAGUAAUGUGAAUUGCAGAAUUCAGUGAAUCAUCGAAUCUUUGAACGCACAUUGCGCCCUCUGGUAUUCCGGAGGGCAUGCCUGUUCGAGCGUCAUUUCAACCCUCAAGCCUGGCUUGGUGAUGGGGCACUGCUUCUUACCCGAGAAGCAGGCCCUGAAAUUCAGUGGCGAGCUCGCCAGGACCCCGAGCGCAGUAGUUAAACCCUCGCUCUGGAAGGCCCUGGCGGUGCCCUGCCGUUAAACCCCCAACUUCUGAAAAU